CUGAAUUGGGAAACCCACUUACCAUAAGGUAGGUAUUGCAACAUGAAUACAUAGUGUUGCAAGGCGAACGAGGGGAAGUGAAACAUCUCAGUACCCUUAGGAAAAGAAAUCAAUUGAGAUUCCCUCAGUAGCGGCGAGCGAACGGGGAUCAGCCCAUUAAGUUAUGUGUGUUUUAGUGGAACGCUCUGGGAAGUGCGAACGUAGAGGGUGAUAUUCCCGUACACGAAAGGGCACACAUAAUGAUGACGAGUAGGGCGAGGCACGUGAAACCUUGUCUGAAUAUGGGGGGACCAUCCUCCAAGG
rnacentral:rRNA from 1 species